AUACGGAGGGUGCAAGCGUUAUUCGGAAUCACUGGGCGUAAAGGACGCGUAGGCGGGUUGGCAAGUCAGAUGUGAAAUCCUACAGCUUAACUGUAGAGCUGCAUUUGAAACUGCUAACCUAGAGUAUGGGAGGGGGAGAUGGAAUUAGUGGUGUAGGGGUAAAAUCCGUAGAUAUCACUAGGAAUACCGAAAGCGAAGGCGAUCUCCUGGAACAUAACUGACGCUAAGGCGUGAAAGCGUGGGGAGCAAACAGGAUUAGAAACCCCAGUAGUCC
rnacentral:rRNA from 1 species